rnacentral:rRNA from 1 species
AGAGUUUGGAUCCUGGCUCAGAAUCAACGCUGGCGGCGCGCUUAACACAUGCAAGUCGCACGAGAACGGGAGCAAUCCUAAGUAAAGUGGCGCACGGGUGAGUAACACGUGGAUCAUCUACCUUUUAGUGGGGAAUACCUCUGGGAAACCGGAGACAAUACCGCAUAAGCCUGUAAAGGGAAAGCAGCAAUGCGCUGAAAGAGGAGUCCGCGGCCGAUUAGCUAGUUGGCGGGGUAAUGGCCCACCAAGGCGAAGAUCGGUAGCCGGCCUGAGAGGGCACACGGCCACACUGGCACUGAAACACGGGCCAGACUCCUACGGGAGGCAGCAGUGGGGAAUCUUGCACAAUGGACGAAAGUCUGAUGCAGCGACGCCGCGUGAGCGAUGAAGCCCUUCGGGGUGUAAAGCUCUUUCGACGGGAACGAUAAUGACGGUACCCGGAGAAGAAGCUGCGGCUAACUACGUGCCAGCAGCCGCGGUAAUACGUAGGCAGCGAGCGUUGUUCGGAAUUACUGGGCGUAAAGAGUGUGUAGGCGGGUUCCCAGUCUGUUGUGAAAUCUCCCGGCUUAACUGGGAGGGUGCAGCGGAAACUAGAAUGCUAGAGGGUGGGAGAGGUAAGCGGAAUUCCUGGUGUAGCGGUGAAAAUGCGUAGGAUAUCAGGAGGAACACCUGUGGUGUAGACAGUUACUGGACCACUUCUGACGCUGAGACACGAAAAGCGUGGGUAG